GACGAACGCUGGCGGCGCGCCUAACACAUGCAAGUCGAACGAGCGAGAGAGAGCUUGCUUUCUCGAGCGAGUGGCGAACGGGUGAGUAACGCGUGAGGAACCUGCCUCAAAGAGGGGGACAACAGUUGGAAACGACUGCUAAUACCGCAUAAGCCCACGGUGCCGCAUGGCACAGAGGGAAAAGGAGUAAUCCGCUUUGAGAUGGCCUCGCGUCCGAUUAGCUAGUUGGUGAGGUAACGGCCCACCAAGGCGACGAUCGGUAGCCGGACUGAGAGGUUGAACGGCCACAUUGGGACUGAGACACGGCCCAGACUCCUACGGGAGGCAGCAGUGGGGAAUAUUGCACAAUGGGGGAAACCCUGAUGCAGCGACGCCGCGUGGAGGAAGAAGGUCUUCGGAUUGUAAACUCCUGUUGUUGGGGAAGAUAAUGACGGUACCCAACAAGGAAGUGACGGCUAACUACGUGCCAGCAGCCGCGGUAAAACGUAGGUCACAAGCGUUGUCCGGAAUUACUGGGUGUAAAGGGAGCGCAGGCGGGAAGACAAGUUGGAAGUGAAAUCUAUGGGCUCAACCCAUAAACUGCUUUCAAAACUGUUUUUCUUGAGUAGUGCAGAGGUAGGCGGAAUUCCCGGUGUAGCGGUGGAAUGCGUAGAUAUCGGGAGGAACACCAGUGGCGAAGGCGGCCUACUGGGCACCAACUGACGCUGAGGCUCGAAAGUGUGGGUAGCAAACAGGAUUAGAUACCCUGGUAGUCCACACCGUAAACGAUGAUUACUAGGUGUUGGAGGAUUGACCCCUUCAGUGCCGCAGUUAACACAAUAAGUAAUCCACCUGGGGAGUACGACCGCAAGGUUGAAACUCAAAGGAAUUGACGGGGGCCCGCACAAGCAGUGGAGUAUGUGGUUUAAUUCGACGCAACGCGAAGAACCUUACCAAGUCUUGACAUCCCUUGACAGGCAUAGAAAUAUGUUUUCUCUUCGGAGCAAGGAGACAGGUGGUGCAUGGUUGUCGUCAGCUCGUGUCGUGAGAUGUUGGGUUAAGUCCCGCAACGAGCGCAACCCUUAUGGUCAGUUACUACGCAAGAGGACUCUGGCCAGACUGCCGUUGACAAAACGGAGGAAGGUGGGGAUGACGUCAAAUCAUCAUGCCCUUUAUGACUUGGGCUACACACGUACUACAAUGGCGUUAAACAAAGAGAAGCGAGACCGCGAGGUGGAGCAAAACUCAGAAACAACGUCCCAGUUCGGACUGCAGGCUGCAACUCGCCUGCACGAAGUCGGAAUUGCUAGUAAUCGUGGAUCAGCAUGCCACGGUGAAUACGUUCCCGGGCCUU
rnacentral:rRNA from 1 species